rnacentral:lncRNA from 1 species
UCAAACUGACGAACUGCAUUUUCGAUUCAGUCAACAUUCAGAACCAACCCGAGCAAAAUCUUAAGAAUUCAGCUGGUUUGAUGAUUAUCUCGAGUUGGGGCCAAAAUAAAAGAUGGAGAAUUUGAGUUUAUCUGUAACUUUCAUUAAAGCAUCUGUGCACCAUCGGAUUGAAGAUCGACCACGACUCGGCUCUGAAGAUCACGGGCGGUGACAGAGCACCCAGACGUGUCGCCGCCGCCGUCGUCGGUCGACCGCCAGAGCGACUAGCUAGGCCACCUCCUCACCACGCAAGCCUACGGGUAGGCCACGGUGUCGUCCAUGCGCGGGGUUAAACGCUUGAAUACUUACUGCUCCCGCGCCGCCGUUUCACCGUCUCCCUUUUUACCGCCGCCCGCUCUCCUCUGUCAAAGCA